AGUCCAACCCCUAUUGGGAG
rnacentral:misc_RNA from 1 species